UACGUAGGGGGCAAGCGUUGUCCGGAUUUAUUGGGCGUAAAGAGCUCGUAGGCGGUUCGGCAAGUCACGUGUGAAAUCUCCACGCUCAACGUGGAGGCGCCACGUGAGACUGCUGUGACUCGAGUCCGGUAGGGGAGCGUGGAAUUCCCGGUGUAGCGGUGAAAUGCGCAGAGAUCGGGAGGAACACCCGUAGCGAAGGCGGCGCUCUGGGCCGGUACUGACGCUGAGGAGCGAAAGCGUGGGGAGCAAACAGG
rnacentral:rRNA from 1 species